GGCUAGGGACUAAUGAAAGUUUUUAGAAAAUUGGGCAGACUAGAUGGACCGAAUGGUUCUUAUCUGCCGUCACAUUCUAUGUUUCUAUGUUUCCACGGGAGCGGGUUUGGGCUGUGUGGGCCUCUGUAGCAUUGCUCCGAUGUCCCUGCUUUCUGCCACAGUAGGUUCCUGUGAGCGGCGGCCCAUAGCUGGCAUGUGGGCUGGUAUGACAGGUGUUGUAGGGGAAGAGUCGUCUCCCACUCUGCACUUGGUGCAAAGAGUGCCUCCAGGCCUCCCUAGUUUUUCGCCUCCGGAGGUGUUAUGGAGUCCAGCUGGCAGCGUUAGAAGGCUGGAUGGGCGUUCAAUUUUGGGAUACUUGAUGAUCAGAGGCUGCUCUCUAAUUAGGUGGUUUAGGCGGCCGCCUAAGGCCUCAUGCUGGCUGGGUUACUGGCUGGGUUACCACGGCAAUGCUCUGACCUCUGGCGAGAUCACAUGGUCUGCAGCUCUGUGGCCACCGAACCAUCAGGGAAAUUAAGGUAUGCAGUCCCCCCUCACAUCAACCCCCCCUCACCAUCAAGUCCCUUACCAUCCAGCCCUCCCUCUGCAUCAGCCCCUCCCCUCACCAUCAAUCCCCAUCCCCCCUCCCUCACCAUCAGCCCCCCCAUCACCCUCUCAUCACCCCCCUCUCCCUCACUCUCAUCACCCCCUUGCUCACAGAGACAUACAUUCACACACACACAAGGAUACUCUGUCAGACACACUCUCAGGCACAUACACAGGUAAACUGUGCAUCAAUGUGUAGUGUGCAUGUAUUGUGUAGUGUAGUGUGCAUGUAAUUUUUUUUCACUUUUUUGUUAGUGGGGCCUCAUGUUUGAGUUUCGCCUAAGGCCUCAUAAAGUCUAGAGCCGCCUCUGUUGAUGAUUAUUUGAUUGUCUCGGAGGAGCUUGCAAGCACGGUGUCUGUUCAGGUUGGUGGUCAAGCUCCGCCCCCCGGACUUAUGUUUUUAAUCAUAAUAUGCAAGAACUACUCUAGCAUUGUCUAGUUAACUGAGUAAUAUUUUAUCAAAGCCAUAAAUGAAAUUGUUGUUGAAUUAUAGAUCAUGCUCAUAACCAAAUGAAAAUAUUGUUCUGGUUUGCAAUACACCGUUUUUCGGUAACUAGUCAUUGGUUUGAUAUUCCUGGGCUUUAUACAAAGGGCCAUCAUAUAGGCACAUGGCCCUUGUUGCACUACAAUUAUUCUGAUCCCAAUGUAAUGAGAUGCAGUCCAAGAAGAUAUGAUGUGUAGUAUGCAUGUCCUAUUAAUGAUAUCUACGCCACGUGUGAGAUCAGCAAGAGGCAUGGUCAGGAUAUAGCUUAUAUAGAACUCUUAAAUCAAAAUAUGGUGUGUUAUGAUUAUAAAUGCAAAUACUGCAUUAAUAUGUAAUCACAAUGUGCACAUUUAAUCAAAACGUGUACUUCAUAACUAUUUAAAUUGUAUAUAAAUUACUUCUAACUGGGUGUAUGCAAUUUUGUUUGCAAAUAAACAUUUCAGUACAAUUUUAUUUGCUGUUUUAUUGCAUUAAUCGAGUGAUUGUAAUACAAUGAUCACACUCUUAUAUGCC
rnacentral:lncRNA from 1 species